GUUUCCGUAGUGUAGUGGUUAUCACGUUCGCUUCAGACGCGAAAAGUCCCUGGUUCGAAACCGGGCGGACUGUAACA